UACGGAGGGAGCUAGCGUUGUUCGGAAUUACUGGGCGUAAAGCGCACGUAGGCGGCUUUGUAAGUUAGAGGUGAAAGCCCGGGGCUCAACUCCGGAACUGCCUUUAAGACUGCAUCGCUUGAAUCCAGGAGAGGUGAGUGGAAUUCCGAGUGUAGAGGUGAAAUUCGUAGAUAUCGGAAGAACACCAGUGGCGAAGGCGGCUCACUGG
rnacentral:rRNA from 1 species